rnacentral:rRNA from 1 species
GUACCCGCUGAACUUAAGCAUAUCAAUAAGCGGAGGAAAAGAAACCAACAGGGAUUGCCUCAGUAACGGCGAGUGAAGCGGCAACAGCUCAAAUUUGAAAUCUGGCGUCUUCGGCGUCCGAGUUGUAAUUUGUAGAGGAUGCUAUUGAGUUGUCACCGGUCUAAGUUCCUUGGAACAGGACGUCGCAGAGGGUGAGAAUCCCGUAUGUGACCGGCCAGACGCUCUCUGUAUAGCUCCUUCGACGAGUCGGGUUGUUUGGGAAUGCAGCCCUAAAUGGGAGGUAAAUUUCUUCUAAAGCUAAAUACCGGCCAGAGACCGAUAGCGCACAAGUAGAGUGAUCGAAAGAUGAAAAGCACUUUGGAAAGAGAGUUAAAAAGCACGUGAAAUUGUUGAAAGGGAAGCGCUUGCAAUCAGUCUCGACGGCGGCUGUUCGGCCUCUCUUCUGAGUGGUUUAUUCAGUCGCCGCCGGGCCAGCAUCAGUUCUGGCGGUCGGAUAAAGGCGUAGGGAAUGUAGCUCCUCUCGGGGAGUGUUAUAGCCCUGCGUGCAAUACGGCCUGCCGGGACUGAGGUCCGCGCUUCGGCUAGGAUGCUGGCGAAAUGGUUGUAAGCGGCCCGUCUUGAAACACGGACCAAGGAGUCUAACAUCUAUGCGAGUGUUUGGGUGUCAAACCCGUACGCGUAAUGAAAGUGAACGGAGGUGGGAACCGCAAGGUGCACCAUCGACCGAUCCUGAUGUCUUCGGAUGGAUUUGAGUAAGAGCAUAGCUGUUGGGACCCGAAAGAUGGUGAACUAUGCCUGAAUAGGGUGAAGCCAGAGGAAACUCUGGUGGAGGCUCGCAGCGGUUCUGACGUGCAAAUCGAUCGUCAAAUUUGGGUAUAGGGGCGAAAGACUAAUCGAACCAUCUAGUAGCUGGUUCCUGCCGAAGUUUCCCUCAGGAU